rnacentral:rRNA from 1 species
CAGUAGCCGCGGGAAUACGUAGGGUGCGAGCGUUAAUCGGAAUUACUGGGCGUAAAGCGUGCGCAGGCGGUUGUGUAAGACAGGUGUGAAAUCCCCGGGCUCAACCUGGGAAUGGCAAUGGAUACUGGCAAGCUAGAGUGUGUCAGAGGAUGGUGGAAUUCCCGGUGUAGCGGUGAAGUGCGUAGAGAUCGGAAGGAACAUCUGUGGCGAAGGCGACUAUCUGGGCCAACACUGACACUGAGGCACGAAAGCGUGGGGAGCAAACAGGAUUAGAUACCCCGGUAGUCCCUGUCUCUUAUAC